rnacentral:rRNA from 1 species
UACGAAGGGUGCUAGCGUUGCUCGGAAUCACUGGGCGUAAAGCGCACGUAGGCGGCUUUCUAAGUCAGGGGUGAAAUCCUGGAGCUCAACUCCAGAACUGCCGUUGAUACUGGAGAGCUUGAGUCCGGAAGAGGUGAGUGGAACUCCGAGUGUAGAGGUGAAAUUCGUAGAUAUUCGGAAGAACACCAGCGGCGAAGGCGCCUCACUGGUCCGGUACUGACGCUGAGGCACGAAAGCGUGGGGAGCGAACAGG